GCUGUCAACACCUACAGCCUAUCUUACAUUGGGUUAUUCAUAGACGAUUCUAGCCCCCAUGCAGAGCAGAAUACGUAUAUUUGCUACAUUAUAUUGGGUUAAAUACAAACAGAACAGUCUAAUGACAUUAACAUGUUAUUUUAUCUACUUCACAUCUUUCACAUGACUGUGACUAGGUGUCUGGAUUUAGUCACUGACAAACCUAAUACAGAAUGAAUGCCAUGAAGCAGGUGUUUCUUCUCCUCAUCUGUGAAGGCUUCUAUCUGGGUUCUGUGUGUCAGGAGUGGACGUUCCCUUCUACAAUCACUGCUCUGAUCGGCUCCUGCGUGGAGAUUCCUUGUACAUAUCAUCCUGCCAGGACCUCAGGGACGUCCCGCACUGUGUGGUACUUAUAUGAUGCUAUAAGAGAUCCAGAGAUCCUAAACACCAGGGACUCAUCUUCAGUAAGGGCAGAAUACAGAGACCGGACCUCACUGGUACCAGGAGAGAACAGCUGCACCCUGCGGAUAGACCCUGUGAGAGGAGGAGAUGAUGGUGAAUAUUAUCCAGGGAUCGCAGAAGAAGAACGCACACCUGCAUUUCAGAGACGUCCUAGAAGAGUUUAUCUCCGUGUCACAGAUGAAGAAGACGUUCAAGUAUAUGUGUCUGAACUCAUGACUGAAGGAGAAGCCACCAAUAUACGCUGUACUGCAGAACACACAGUCCAGUCCACCUUCUCUACGAUGGAACAAACCUGGUCAGAUUCAAAAGAAGUCAGUGGAACAAAAUAGAGGAAAAUGGAGAGAAGAAUCAGAACUUACUUAUAUUCCUUCAUAUGUGGAUGACGGGAGUCCUGUUCAAUGCAUCGCUACGUAUCCUAAUGGGCAACAUACAGAAACAUCAAGAACUUUGAAUAUCAAAUAUGCACCAAAAAAUGUGACUGUCACUGUUAUCAGAAUGAACAAAGUGAAGGAAGGAAGUAAUGUGAUGUUACAAUGUAGCAGCUUCUUCAAUCUUGCUGUAGAUGAGUACGAAUGGUACAAAGGGAAAACCAAAUUACCAGACAAAGGAUGGGAGAUCACAGUGAGGAAUGUAACCUGGGACAUAGAGCCCUAUUCCUGUGCUGCAAGAAAUCGUGUGGGUAGAGGAGAAUCAGCCCCAACAGAGAUACCUGUACAAUAUGCAGCAAUUGGAGUUCACAUCACCAUGAAGAAAGAACAUGAAUUCUCUGAAUUGGUCUGUGACUUCCUAAGCAGCCGGCCUGAUGUAACCCACUACACCUGGAUGAAGGAUGGGUCUAUAUUACUGAAUGAGAUGGAGAAGACCCUGACCAUAAAUAACAAUGAGGAGAACUACGGCCAGUAUUCGUGUAUCGCUCACAACAGCGCUGGGAAUUCCUCCUCGGAAGAGAUUACUAUUAAAGCUGAAGAAUCCAGCAUCUUAUUCUUCUGUCAACAACUGGAGUCAUCUGCCCACUGAUGCUACUGAUGCUUGCAUUGCUUGUAUAUGCUUGCUGGAGGAAAAGACAGAAAAAGCUAACAAGCCUUGAGGCUGAACCCACGUAUACCGAUCUGAGGAGAUCAGAUAUCACAAGUAUAUAUGAUCAACUGGAACCGGUGACCCCUGCAGACACCACAGCUGUGGGAUCAGAUCCGGUGACCCCUGCAGACACCACAGCUGUGGGAUCAGAUGUAGGUGCAUCUAAUAUAUAUGAAAACACCCACAUACUGCGGACAUUUGUAAAAUGAUAAUAAAAUAAUCUGUGAUAAUUAUGGGGUCCAUUAUUUUAUUUUUGUAGAAUGCAAUAUAUGUUUGUGUUUGUGUCAUCUGCUCUCUGAUCAUUUUUCUGGAUCUGUCAUCUACAUGCUUCAUUCUGUUGGCAUUAAAGAUAAUGCGGUCUCUUCCUUU